AGCAGGAUCUAAGGAGGGGUGUGUUAGGGUUGUCGAGACCCUCCAGGAGGGUGGUGAAUAGUGGAGGCAGAGAAGGCUGGUUGUAGGGCUGGGGCGAGGAGAGUCUCAGCAGAGCAGAGACGAGGGUCGAGGCGGGCCUUUUAGGAUGCACAGCCAGAGUAAGAAGUUAAGGGUCAGGAAGGAAAUAGGGAGGGUCUCGGACCCUUACCACGGCAUGCAAUUGUCGCCCGCUCUGAGGCGAAAGGGGGAGCGGAAGGGGUUGGGCUGUGGAGGGCUGGUACCCCCUCCUGUGGCCACCGCCAUGGUCUGGUCGUCCAUCACACAGCCGUACUCGCUGCUCUCGGUGAAGAAGGCCGGCACUCGGAGGGACUGGGGGUGGGGCGGGGCCUCAGACACGCUCCGAGAGGCUCCUCCCCCCAGAUACCUCCCGAGCCAGAAGGAUAGAAGACUGGGUUGAAAAUUGAGGACCCAGACGGACCGGGAUGAGGGAGAGGCACCAGGCAGACACAGAGAGGGGCAAGAGGACCCGUGGGCGCACCCCAUGUCUGUGGAGCAGAUGGUGGGGAGGAAGAGACUUUCAGAAAAAGAGGAGGGAGUGGGCAGGAGGUGAAAAAGUUCCCUUUGGCCUCAUCUCCCACCUGUAACCGGGGCAGUGAGCUCAGCCAAGUGUCCUUGAGACCAAAGCCGGAAUUAAAUCCUGCGGACCGAAGGAGAGCAGGGAGAAGCUGGCUCCCAUGGUCGUCUUCUCUCCCACCUUCCCCACACUCCUACCCCAGGCUUUUACCAAUAACCAGUCCCAGAGCUGAGCCGUGCUGAUACCCCAGGACCAGGACGGGCAGAUACUUCGGGGCUAUCCUGGGGAGCCAAGAGUCGGGUGGAGAAACCACUGGAAGUUAGUGUACUGGAAGAUGCAUUAGGCUGAGGGGCCCAUGCCUGAAGAGAGGCCUCACGCACCACUGAGAAGAAGGCUGAGGGAUG